GUGCCAGCAGCCGCGGUAAUACAGAGGUCCCAAGCGUUGUUCGGAUUCACUGGGCGUAAAGGGUGCGUAGGUGGUGAGGUAAGUCGGAUGUGAAAUCUCCGGGCUCAACCCGGAAAUGGCAUUGGAAACUACCUUGCUAGAGGAUUUGAGGGGGGAUUGGAAUACUUGGUGUAGCAGUGAAAUGCGUAGAUAUCAAGUGGAACACCAGUGGCGAAGGCGAAUCCCUGGAAAAUACCUGACACUGAGGCACGAAAGCUAGGGGAGCAAACAGGAUUAGAUACCCUUGUAGUCC
rnacentral:rRNA from 1 species